AAAGGGAAAAAAAGACUUUUGAAACUUGUAGUCUAAAAUAAGUCAUAGUUGUUUGUGUUGCUAUAAAUCAUCUCAUUCAGGGUAAAAUGGGCAUGUUUAAGUUAAAUAGCAACUAAAUAUAGAAAUGAGUCAUUAUUUUUGGGACUUAUGUAAUACCCUAUAUUAAAAUAAGGGCAUAAUUGUCAUUUAGCUCUCAUUUAAAAAAAAAGGGGGCUGAAAGCCCUAACAGAAGCAGCAGCAACGCUGCAACUUCAGCGAUCAAAAGAAAAAAAAAGGACUCUUCUUGUUCUAUAGUGAGCGAACGAACGAAGGAGAAACAUAAAUUUAAAUUGAAAGCCUUGGCUCUCAAACUAAAGAGAGAGGUGGAAGAAGAAGAAGAAUGAGAAGAAGGUAAGUUUCUUAACUUAAUCUAAAGGUUGAAUUUGUAUCUUCCAUGACUAUAAGAUUGGGAAUUGGGAAGUUGAGAAACAUGGGUUUAGAAGAAAAAGAGGAAAUUUAUCUCAUUCUUAUGAACCAAGUGAAUAUAGUCAAUGAUUUGAACUGUAAACUUUGGUAUUGGGCUUAUAUGCAAUAAGAGUAAUUGGGCAGUAAGGUUAGGUUGAUCUUUUUACAGCGAGAAUUGACCAAGAAGAGACUAAUGUGUGUGAUUAAAGCACUAAUUAAGUGAUUGGGCAGAUUUCGAAUCAGCCAUGAAACCUCUAGGGCUGGGUUUUUUAAAAAUGUAGUAUGAAUUACCUAAAUGAAGGAGUUAACACGAAAUUAUUAUGAAUGUGAUUAUAGAUUGACCAAAGGAAUUCAUACGGAGUAAUCGAGUGGCAAGCUUGGUAACUCAACACAAGUACUAGAAUUCAAGUGGUAUUGAAGAGGAUUUCAUUAACUAGCGUGUGAGUUGGUAGCAUCUGGUGAGCCCCGCAUUGCUUCGCGUGGCAAGAGAACUAUUGAUUUGUUAUGUUUAUUUAGUUUCUUUUAAAAACUCUUAGAGUUGCUCCAUUUGUCAUUCUUUUGAUUUGAGUCAAGAUUAGUCCUUCGAAUUGUAGUCAAGUGACUAGUUUGGAACUUUUUUCGUAAUUUGGAGAUGAAUUGGUUU